AAAAAAAAUCACAAUAAAAAGUUGAACAAUGGUUGAUCUGUUAAACAGAUUCAAAUCUUGAUAUCUCGUUGAUAUCAGAACGGCGAAAUUGAAGAAAAUACGAUAUGAAAAUCAUAUAUUCAAUGUAAGUUCAGAAGUUCUCAUGACCUAUGGGAAAAUAAGUAGUAGAACCAGGCAGCGUGAAAUUAAUGCACUUUGAAUAAGGAGUAACAUUGAGUAUACAAUAGUGGCACUUGUAAUUAUUACGUCCAUCAUUCCAAGUUUCAUAUUAUUUAUUCAUUUCUGAAAAGCAAGGUUCCCACAGUAUAAGCUACUUUCUGUUGUAGCUGAUUAGUGUUGGUGAACCGAAAAAGAAAUUGUUUGCUAAUGCCGGUUUUCAAAGAAAGAGUCAAUGCAAAUGAAAUCACAUGCUCAAUCUGAGUAUUCUCUUUGUAGUUAGUUGUUUGUGUGAAUAUAGUUUGCCUUGUUUUGUCCGAAAAUGUUGUUUUCCAGUUUAAAGAAAAUUGUAGUAGGGGGCUAUCUUUGCAUGAUAUUUAUGAUUUAUAUAGGAUCUUGAGGAGCGAUAAUAACACAAAUAUGUUAACACGCUUCUUACGGAACAAUUUCAAAAUAAAUGACUUGAAGAAAUGAAAAACUGACGUGAUACAAUGACAUGUUGAAUAAAGUACGCAUAAGUUCCGAAUAAUAUUUUUCUUACUCUUCAGCUAGUUGAAAUCAACUCACAUCAACAUCUUUGACUAGUCUAGAACCCCUCGAGAAUGAUUUUGAUGAAAAUUCAUCUUUAGCAAAUUUUUGAAGAAUGGUGACGUUACUAUUGGUUCGAUUCAGUAUAUUUAUCAAAACAAAUCUUAAUUGGAAUCUGAAGAGUUGUGAGUGAAACUUGGGAUACAAAUUCAAAGAAAACUGCAGUAAGACUUAAUGAUCUCGUUUCAAGUAGAGCAGAUCUUAUUUCAUGCACCCAUUUCAUACAUAUCACAUUUACUCUGGAUAAAGAAAACGUAAACCAAGAACUUCAUUUCACAUUAUUUAUAUCCCAUUUUCCUGUCAUAAAAACCAGCAAUCAAGAAAAUUUAUAGUUCAAGGUACUCCGCUGCCUAUGAAGAAUUAUGGCUGGGGAGAGGGAUAUCAAAUAACCUUUAGUCAUCAAAAUAUUCUCUCAGAUGAUUCUCAUCGAAUCUGACAAAGAAAUUCGAGCCUGUUGAAAUUUUGCCUCAAACUAUGGUUAUUCCAUUAGCUGAACAUUCAAAUGCCCUCUCUCAAGACGUUAUGGACCUAAAACUUGAGAUCUUAAGAGAAUAAAAACUGCAAAUAUUAAUCAACGGUUUAUAAUUUCCAUUAAGUUCCAAUUCCUCUAGAGCAUCUCACAUCUGAAAUAAAGACUGAAUGAAUUCAAACGAAAAUGACUGAAUGAA